UAAACGUUUGAUUUCGGCUUAAAUUUUUAUAGUACUGUCAAAGUUGCAUGAAAAUUAUAGUGAGGGCAAUUGAUCGGCUUUAGGUAGGUCAGUAAGAUAAGGUAAGUAAUUGAUAAAACUUAUAGUCUCAGCAUAAAGUAUUAAGAUUUAUAUGAAAAUAUGAAUUAGUGAUAGUAAAAUGUAAGGCCUGAUAAAUAUUUGUGCCAGCAUUCGCGGUUAUACUUUAAGGUCGAGUAAAAAGAGUUAGUAAUUAGUUAAGUGAGUGAUUAAAUUUAAUUAUUGAUGAUAAAAGGUAAAAUUGAGUUGUUAUUAUAUAAUAUAUAGUAAUUAAAACUGAAGCUAGGAAAAUUUGGAUGAAAACUAGGAUUAGAUACCCUAUUAUUCUAAAUUAAAACCGGAAGUACUAAAUUAGUAAUAGUUAAUUACUUAAAAAUUAAAAAAUUUGGCGGUGAUUUAAUCUUUCCAGAGGAACUUGUUUCUUGAUCGAUACUCCUCGCAAAAUCUUACUUAUUUUUGUUAACAGGCAGUUUGUAUACCAUCAUUAGCAGGUAACUUCAAAAGAAUAAGUUACUAAAUGUUAAUUAUUUACAAAAAUUAGAUCAUGGUGCAGCAUAUAAAUAAGUUGAAAUGAGUUACAAUAAGUUAUCUUAAACGGAGCAGUAAAGUAAGAAUUGCUGUGAAGGAGGAUUUGGUUGUAUUAUAAUGUUAAUAAGCUUAUGAGACAUAAGUUCUAAAUCAUGUACAUAUCGCCCGUCGCUUUCGUUUAUAACGAAAUAAGUCGUAACAUAGUAGGUGUACCGGAAGGUGUACCUAGAAUUAG
rnacentral:ncRNA from 1 species